AGCGGGUGGGGCAGGAUUGGGGUCCGCGCCAGGUUUGGAGGCCCACAGGUUUGCCAUGGAAGCCCCUUACGGGGAAGUACGGUUAAGAUUAGCCGAGACAAAGCGGACUUGACCCAAGCCAGAUUACCAUUCAAGAGCUCAGAGAUUUUAUAAGAUUUGCCCAGGGCCCCAAUGCUUCUGUGUGGAUUAUAACCCAAAUGAGUGACUUCAAAAUUAAUGUUCUUACAUGCUAUUCAACACUGUAUCCAAGGCUGGACAUGGCGGCUCAAGCCUGUAAUCCCAGCAUUUUGGGAGGCUGAGGUGUCCAUUCUUCAUCAGAAUCUUCAGUGUCAUCCACCUGGAGUUUGAUGGCCUGCCUUCGGUGACACAUGAAAGCUGGUCGAGUGGCUCUGAGACCUGAAAUGAAGCAAAAAGUUUGUUCUAAAAGGGAAGAGCUGGGCAGAGGAACAAAGGGCAGUAGCAAUGAAAAGGACCACAAAGCCAGUGCGGCUCAGUCUGAAGAGCUGGCAGAGUCCUGAACAAGGUCAAGAUGGGACUUCUGCAUGGUCAGUAUCCACACUCAGCCCCACACUGACACAAAAGAACACAAUUUCCCUCCAGAUUUGUCUUCAUACAAAAGGGAACUGUGGGCAGAUACCACUACCUGAGAACUAAAAUGACAUAGGACCAAAGACCUGUU